rnacentral:rRNA from 1 species
GACGAACGCUGGCGGCGUGCUUAACACAUGCAAGUCGAGCGGUAAGGCCCUUUCGGGGGUACACGAGCGGCGAACGGGUGAGUAACACGUGGGUGACCUGCCCUUAGCUCUGGGAUAAGCCUGGGAAACUGGGUCUAAUACCGGAUAUGACUCCAUGACGCAUGUUGUGGGGUGGAAAGCCUUGUGCGGCUAGGGAUGGGCCCGCGGCCUAUCAGCUUGUUGGUGGGGUGAUGGCCUACCAAGGCGACGACGGGUAGCCGGCCUGAGAGGGCGACCGGCCACACUGGGACUGAGACACGGCCCAGACUCCUACGGGAGGCAGCAGUGGGGAAUCUUGCGCAAUGGGCGAAAGCCUGACGCAGCGAUGCCGCGUGGGGAUGACGGCCU